CCUACGGGAGGCAGCAGUGAGGAAUAUUGGUCAAUGGGCGGAAGCCUGAACCAGCCAAGUCGCGUGAGGGAAUAAGGCCCUACGGGUCGUAAACCUCUUUUGCCGGGGAGCAAGGGCGGGGACGUGUCCCGGCCCGGAGAGUACCCGGAGAAAAAGCAUCGGCUUACUCCGUGCCAGCAGCCGCGGUAAUACGGAGGAUGCGAGCGUUAUCCGGAUUUAUUGGGUUUAAAGGGUGCGUAGGCGGGCUUUUAAGUCAGCGGUAAAAAUUCGGGGCUCAACCCCGUCCGGCCGUUGAAACUGGGGGCCUUGAGUGGGCGAGAAGAAGGCGGAAUUCCUAGUGUAGCGGUGAAAUGCGUAGAUAUUAGGAGGAACACCAGUGGCGAAGGCGGCCUGCUGGGCUUUUACUGACGCUGAGGCUCGAAAGUGUGGGGAGCAAACAGGAUUAGAUACCCCUGUAGUC
rnacentral:rRNA from 1 species